GUAUAAGCAUUAUACCGCGAAACUGCGAAUGGCUCAUUAAAUCAGUUAUCGUUUAUUUGAUAGUUCCCUACUACUUGGAUAACCGUGGUAAUUCUAGAGCUAAUACAUGCAAAAAACCGCGACUUCGGAAGCGGUGUAUUUAUUAGAUUAAAGACCAAUGCCCUUCGGGGCUGACUGGUGAUUCAUGAUAACUUCUCGAAUCGCACGGCCUUGCGCCGGCGAUGGUUCAUUCAAAUUUCUGCCCUAUCAACUUUCGACUUUAGCGUAGUGGGCUAAAGUGGUUACAACGGGUAACGGAGGGUUAGGGCUCGACCCCGGAGAAGGAGCCUGAGAGACGGCUACUACAUCCAAGGAAGGCAGCAGGCGCGCAAAUUACCCAAUCCCGACACGGGGAGGUAGUGACAAUAAAUACUGAUACAGGGCUCUUUUGGGUCUUGUAAUUGGAAUGAGUACAAUUUAAAUCCCUUAACGAGGAACAAUUGGAGGGCAAGUCUGGUGCCAGCAGCCGCGGUAAUUCCAGCUCCAAUAGCGUAUAUUAAAGUUGUUGUGGUUAAAAAGCUCGUAGUUGAACCUGGGCCUCGCGCAGACCGGUCCGCCUCACCGCGUGCACUGGUCCUGCCGGGGCUUUCACUAGGGGAUUCGCAUGCCCUUCACUGGGCGUGCGCGGAACCUGGACCUUUACUGUGAAAAAAUUAGAGUGUUCAAAGCAGGCCUAUGCUCGAAUACAUUAGCAUGGAAUAAUAGAAUAGGACGUGUGGUUCUAUUUUGUUGGUUAUGGGACCGCCGUAAUGAUUAAUAGGGACAGUCGGGGGCAUCAGUAUUCAAUUGUCAGAGGUGAAAUUCUUGGAUUUAUUGAAGACUAACUACUGCGAAAGCAUUUGCCAAGGAUGUUUUCAUUAAUCAGGAACGAAAGUUAGGGGAUCGAAGACGAUCAGAUACCGUCGUAGUCUUAACCAUAAACUAUGCCGACUAGGGAUCGGGCGAUGUUACUUUUUGACUCGCUCGGCACCUUACGAGAAAUCAAAGUUUGUGGGUUCCUGGGGGAAUAUGGUGGCAACGCUGAAACUUAAAGAAAUUGACGGAAGGG
rnacentral:rRNA from 1 species